rnacentral:rRNA from 1 species
AUUGAACGCUGGCGGCAUGCUUUACACAUGCAAGUCGAACGGCAGCACGGGGGGAAACCUCUGGUGGCGAGUGGCGAACGGGUGAGUAACAUAUCGGAACGUAACUUGUAAUGGGGGAUAACGCAGCGAAAGUUGUGCUAAUACCGCAUACGUCCUGAGGGGGAAAGCGGGGGACCGGAGACGGCCUCGCGUUAUGAGGGCGGCCGAUAUCUGAUUAGCUAGUUGGUGGGGUAAAGGCCUACCAAGGCUACGAUCAGUAGCUGGUCUGAGAGGAUGAUCAGCCACACUGGGACUGAGACACGGCCCAGACUCCUACGGGAGGCAGCAGUGGGGAAUUUUGGACAAUGGGGGCAACCCUGAUCCAGCCAUGCCGCGUG